rnacentral:tRNA from 1 species
GGUGCGGUAACUCAGUGGAGCAUUAUGCGUAGAGUAGCGGUUUGAAAAGCCGCCGGUCGCUGGUUCGAUCCCAGCUCGUACCACAA